rnacentral:rRNA from 1 species
CGAACGCUGGCGGCGUGCCUAAUACAUGCAAGUAGAACGCUGAAGGAAUAGCUUGCUAUUCUGGAAGAGUUGCGAACGGGUGAGUAACGCGUAGGUAACCUACCUCAUAGCGGGGGAUAACUAUUGGAAACGAUAGCUAAUACCGCAUAAGAAUACUUAUUGCAUGAUAAGUAUUUAAAAGGAACAACAGUUUCACUGUGAGAUGGACCUGCGUUGUAUUAGCUAGUUGGUAAGGUAACGGCUUACCAAGGCGACGAUACAUAGCCGACCUGAGAGGGUGAUCGGCCACACUGGGACUGAGACACGGCCCAGACUCCUACGGGAGGCAGCAGUAGGGAAUCUUCGGCAAUGGGGGCAACCCUGACCGAGCAACGCCGCGUGAGUGAAGAAGGUUUUCGGAUCGUAAAGCUCUGUUGUCAGCCAAGAAUGUAUGUGAGAGUGGAAAAUUCACAUAGUGACGGUAACUGACCAGAAAGGGACGGCUAACUAC